rnacentral:lncRNA from 1 species
ACUCUGUAGCUGAGACAUCGGGCCAGUUACUUAACUUCUUGACCCUGUUUCCUCAUCUGGGAAUAUGGGAGCAAGGUUUUUAUAGAGCUGUUGGGAAACCGCUAAGACCUAGCUGGUCUUAAGACUGAGGCGCUUAACACUGAAUAGGACCUGAAUUUGCAACAGUUUCCUCUUACUGUCAGAAUUUAGCUUUUUAAAAUAUAUAUAGAAUAAUCAUAGUUUGUUGUUUCUGUUCUGUUUAGAAACAAGAGCAACUUAAUUAAACUAACAGGUUGAUGCCACAAGGAGUCAUCUGCUGUGUGAUAGUUCCAGGUACAGGGGCAGGCACGUUGCAAACUCUGGCCAACUCUGGGAGUUGGUGAGAUCUUGCCUUUGGUAGAUUUUGAGCCACCUGUUUACUUUUUUACAAAUUAAAAAAAGAAUAUUUAUUUACAUGUUUGUGGGCACUUGUGUGCUGCUGCAGUCAUGGAGGUCAGAGGAUAGAUUGUGGGAAUUGGCUUUCCCUUCUUCCACCAUGUGGGUCCUCUGCUUGGUGACAAGUGCCUUUACUGCUGAGUCAUCUCCCGCUGCGUGCCCCACCCCACCCCUCCUCGUGCGCCUUAGUUUAGUACUCUGAAUUUACUUUUAAGUCGGUGCCAGCCUGUAAAGGCACUUGUCAUCAAGCCCGACCACUUAAGUUAGAACCACAGAACCCAUGAGGUGGAAGGAGAGAACUGACUUCAGCCGGUUGUCCUCUGACCACCACACAUACACCGCGUUCCGCGUGCGCCGCCCACCUCCCCCGCCAUAAAUACAUU